UAAGAGUUGGUUGGUGUUUAAGUUAAUGAGUUUUUUAAAGAAAAUGAUGUGGUUCAUUGCUUUUAAUUUGCUAUCUUGAAAGGUUAUACCAAUAUCAUAUUCUCUGAUUUGAAAUUGCAGAGUUACCCAAACCCUAAAUUCCCCAAACUCUAGCCACCAACCGCCUUAUGAUGCUGGUCAUAGUUGUUUCCCGUUUUCUGUUAAGAUAAGUCUUCGCCAUUCUUCUCUAUCUCUCUUCAAAUAUCCAUAUAUAAGUAGCAAUUUUGGGAUGGGAAGUGCCCUGGAGAAACUAUAUGGUCAAGCUAUUGGUGCUAGACAACUUAACAUGCUUGGAGUCUAUGCAAAAAUCUUGGAUUUUUUUUAUAUUUAAUUAAUUUAAUUUUGUUGAUUUAUUUAAUUUAUUUAAUUAGUUUAAUUAAAUUUAGUUAAUUUAAUUUAAUUAAUUAAUUUAUAUUCAAUAAUUAGGCAAGAAAGCUUUGAAUAGUGUCUAGCAGAGGUGGCUCGGAUGAAAACGGAUUUUUGUAUAUUCUCUUUGUGACUUGAGAUUUGUUUAUUUAUCGUUUUUAGUAUGUUUGAACUUGUUAAUAUUUUUGUACAUUACACAAUUUUAAUUUUUAAUUACAUUCCUCUUC